AGUGAACGCUGGCGAUAGGCCUAACACAUGCAAGUCGAACGGCAGCACAGUAGAGCUUGCUCUUACGGGUGGCGAGUGGCGGACGGGUGAGGAAUACAUCGGAAUCUACUUUUUCGUGGGGGAUAACGUAGGGAAACUUACGCUAAUACCGCAUACGACCUACGGGUGAAAGCAGGGGAUCUUCGGACCUUGCGCGAUUGAAUGAGCCGAUGUCGGAUUAGCUAGUUGGCGGGGUAAAGGCCCACCAAGGCGACGAUCCGUAGCUGGUCUGAGAGGAUGAUCAGCCACACUGGAACUGAGACACGGUCCAGACUCCUACGGGAGGCAGCAGUGGGGAAUAUUGGACAAUGGGCGCAAGCCUGAUCCAGCCAUACCGCGUGGGUGAAGAAGGCCUUCGGGUUGUAAAGCCCUUUUGUUGGGAAAGAAAAGCAGCAGGUUAAUACCCCGCUGUUCUGACGGUACCCAAAGAAUAAGCACCGGCUAACUUCGUG
rnacentral:rRNA from 1 species